rnacentral:rRNA from 1 species
GAUGAACGCUGGCGGCGUGCCUAGUACAUGCAAGUCGGGCGAACAGAUAAGGAGCUUGCUCCUUUGACGUUAGCGGCGGACGGGUGAGUAACACGUGGGUAACCUACCUAUAAGACUGGAAUAACUCCGGGAAACCGGGGCUAAUGCCGGAUAACAUUUAGAACCGCAUGGUUCUAAAGUGAAAGAUGGUUUUGCUAUCACUUAUAGAUGGACCCGCGCCGUAUUAGCUAGUUGGUAAGGUAACGGCUUACCAAGGCAACGAUACGUAGCCGACCUGAGAGGGUGAUCGGCCACACUGGAACUGAGACACGGUCCAGACUCCUACGGGAGGCAGCAGUAGGGAAUCUUCCGCAAUGGGCGAAAGCCUGACGGAGCAACGCCGCGUGAGUGAUGAAGGUCUUCGGAUCGUAAAACUCUGUUAUUAGGGAAGAACAAAUGUGUAAGUAACUGUGCACGUCUUGACGGUACCUAAUCAGAAAGCCACGGCUAACUACGUG